UAGUUUGCAGAAGCUUCCAAGGUAAGACGACAUCAUGGUAUCUGAAGAAAAGAAAACACAUGUCAUACGAAAACUGCCACAAUGUCGCUUCUGUCGCACCUGGAAACUUCGAAGUUCCCACCUUCUGUUUAUGAUGAUGGCCGGAUUCUUCUGUGUGCUCUGGGUUCAGCCAGACCGACUUUGCUUCACAUGGAGAGAAAAGUCUUCACCACAAGAGUAUGGCGCAGGU